CGCGCUUCGGCGCGGCCAGCCGCCGUGGGGCGGCCUCUUCACUUUUCCUCCGUUGCGCUCUUUGUGUCGGGACGGAGAUCGCGCCGCGGUUUGUUUGUGCGUUUUACCCCGUGUAGGAACCUUCACGGGGUUUCGGAUGGCCUCUGCUUGCCCCGCCCAUACUUGUUGUCGGCGGCGCAGCUGUUAUGUCCGGCUGACUCGGUGUGCGGCGGUUGCGGAUGCUGCAGCGCGCCGCACUCGGGUUGUGCUUUGCUCUCAUGGAUGCGGUGCUCCGCUUGCUGUUCUGCGGGUUGUACUUGGCCCCAGAAUGCUUUGGGUUGUCCCGCGAGCUGUGGCCGUCGCGGCUCGUGCCGCAUAGCGGCGCGUGCGGGCGGAUGUGCCGUAGCGCGUGUGCGACGUCCCUUCCGACCGAAUGAGCGAUUGUCGGCGCGUGCGGCCCGUUCGGUCUCCCCCUUGGGGUGCACCCGGGGCGGCGCGCCGUUCUCGUCUAGAGGACGUGCUACCUGGUUGAUCCUGCCA
rnacentral:misc_RNA from 1 species